UAUAGUACGCGAUUUUUUGGGUCGUUACUUUUUAAGUUCCAAGACUAUAACGACUGAAAUGCUUGACAGAUAAACGCUGGAAACUAUUUUGAAUGAAAGGACAAUAAUUUUGUAAGAUUCGCCAAUUGUUGUCAAAUGUGUUAAAAAUUACUAAAGGACAUAUUGAACCCUUUCUUCAAGUUAUUUUGGUUGCGCUUUUAAAGUUGUUUCAUCAGAUCUUUCGGGCAACUUUUGCGGCCGCUAGAAUUUAUUAACUUUCUACGGACUUCUAACUGGCGGAGAAAGAAUUAUUUUUUUGGAGCAGGCGGGGGUUGAGAUCGUUCCACUAGUUUUCAUUUACCUUUGAAUUGCAAAGACCAAUUUAUUUCUUUUUAAAAACCUCAGUGAAACAAACCGUUUGAAUGAUAGAAAAAUGACAGACUGGAAGUAGAACUGAAAACUCUCUCAGCUGCGUCUUUUGGUUGAAUCAAAUACAAUCAAAAUGAAAUCGAAAAUUGGAUUUUUAGCUCUAAUGUGCCAUAUUCUGUAUUUUCAAGGAUGCAGUUGUGUUUGGAAUUGCCCAAAUCGAAAUCCCCAGUGCAUGGCAGAAAACGAGAUGAUACAAGAUGGUGGCGGUUCUACAGCAUAUGUUUAUUCCGGUGGAUCUACCAGCUGGGAAGAUUGGUGGACGUAUGAUGGCAUAUCUGGUCCUGAUUUCUGGGGUCUGUUGAAUCUUGAAUGGAGUCUUUGCAGUAAAGGACGAAGACAGUCACCCGUUAAUAUUGAUCCAGCUGGACUUCUUUACGAUCCAAGCCUUCGCCCCAUACAUGUUGAUAAAAUUAGGGUAAACGGCGUCAUCACCAACACCGGACAUGGGGUGAUAUUUCGAACAACCCCCUCGUCUCAUAAUGAAAUACUGAAUAUAACUGGUGGACCUCUUUCAUAUAAAUAUCGCUUUAGUGAGAUCCAUAUUCAUUUUGCAAGAUCUGAUGAGAAAGGCUCAGAGCAUCUGAUUUCAGGUUAUCAGUUUCCAGCAGAACUGCAGAUCUAUGGCUACAACAGUGAUCUUUAUCAAAACAUAUCGGAGGCAAUUGCUCUUCAGAAAAAUCAAGGUUUAGUUGGCAUAUCAGUUCUUCUACAGACUGGAGACUUGUCCAAUUCUGAACUCAGAAUCAUAACAAGUCAGUUGCAUAAAAUAAUUCAUAGAGGCCAGGAGGCGCAGCUAAAAUAUUUGUCUCUGCGUGAUCUUAUGCCAGACACUCCAUAUUAUAUGACGUACGAAGGAUCAACAACAAUGCCCGGAUGCUACGAGACCGUGACAUGGAUCAUAAUGAACAAGCCCAUCUACAUAACUAAACAGCAGCUAUUUGCGUUAAGGAGGCUAAUGCAAGGCGAUGAAAGGAACCCUAAAGCACCACUGGCAGACAACUUCAGGCCAACUCUUGAUCUGAACCAAAGAUCAAUCAGAACUAACAUUGAAUUCCGAAGGAAACCGCAAACGUCCAAGAUCAUCAGAAAGGACCUUGAUAGAAAUCCCCAAGUCUCUCCGGAGGUAACCAUCACGAAAAAGGGUCAAGUCGUUCACUUUAGAGCGGAUGAGUCCCCCCUCCCCUUCCCCUUUCAUCAUCAUUAUUCUAGUCAACAGCAGGACCAUAACAUAUUUAGCACACCUUUCCCCAUCAUCAACAUUUCAACUCAACCCAAGUCCUUCCAGUCGAUGUUUGUCUUCCUUCGUGUGUUUUGUGGUGCUGAAGUUCCUCUCACUACGCACCUUAUUUCUUGAUGGUCAUAAAUUUGUGUCAAAACAUUAUCAAAAAGGCUCUCUGAUGGAACAAAACAUUUGAACCAUGUUUCGACACGAUUUGAGUAGUAUCUUCUAAAGUUGCUAUUGAUACACAAAAUCUCAAGGGUUGUAUUAAUUAACCGUCCUUGAAUCCAGAUGAAAUCACAGAUUUUCAAAUUUCCUGAAAGGUACUCAACAUUCGUUUCAAAACAGAUACAGAAUGUUUUGGCAUCUUACAGAGAAAUGGAAUUUCUUUCUGCAUUAAAAUGAUUCAUCUUUUCAGUUUAAAAUAUACCUUCCGGAAGAGUUGUUUUUUUAUUUCAAGAAUGUAGCUGUACAUUGUAAUAUGCAACGCUUUUCAGAUAAAAAUUUCUCAGUUUUAGCUUGAAAUUUUAAAAAUAUAUAUAAAAAGAAUUUGUCUUAACAAUUUCUGUGAAUUAUGACCACACCUCUGCUUUAUUGCAUUCAGGAACUUGUAUUUAUUUACUAAAGUCCUGUUCUCAUACAUGAUUCUUUGUCAUCUCUGAAGUUAAAAUCUUUUCCUGUGUUUUGUCAUUAUUGAUCAUUUUAUUUUCAGAAUGACAAAACUCACCGCCAAGCUUCAUCAGUGUUCUCUAUCAAAUGUUAUCAUGCUCAUUCACCGCUAUGAACGCUCAAUCAAGACGAAUAUUAAGCCAUGUUUUCCUAAAACACUCCAAAUGCUAUCCAGCAAAUUGAUUUAUUUCCCGAGCAAAAUUAUUGUAACCGUAGUGCUGCAAAUGUAUAUCAUUAGUUGAAUAAUCAAAGUGUCAUAAAUGGAUUGUUUUAAUGAUAAUUUAAUACUAUCUAGAUGUAUAAGUGUGCUUAUGUUCAUUGGAAUUAAUUUUUCUGAUAUAUAAUUCAAAUUUUCAAGUAGCAAUAUACAGAAUGCUUACAAUAAUGGAAUAACUCUUCAGUCAGGCAACCAAUUUGAAGAAAAACACUACUGAAACAGUGGUAGUUUUUGUGAAAUAAAUGUAGAUAUAUGCUUUGUGAGUUUAUCCUUCUACUUAUUAAUGUAUAAAGACAAAGUUAUUUGUGGUAAAAUGUAUUUUGCAGAACUAAGCACUUUCUUCAUGCAAAAUGAAUUUUGUGUGAUGUCAAAAAUGAAAAGCGAUUGCCUCUCAAAGAAAAGCAAUUGAAAUAAUGUGUAAUACUAGUUCAAUUUUAUGGACUUCGGGUAAAAAAAGGAAAAUGAAUGCUGAAAAUGCUCUAUAAGGUAUGAAUAACCUAAAUCAUUUACAAAAACUUGUGAACUGGGUUUUUCGUCAAUAUUGAAAACAGAAGAGACAACAAAAUAUUGCCUUCGUCCUAUGGAAGUGAGUCUUAUCUUAUUCAGUGAAACUUAUCUUGUGGAAUAUAGUUCAAUUAGAUGUCUACUCCUUAAUGGAGGAGAAUAUAAUUAGUAACAUUAUACAGGUAAGUAUAAGAAAAUAAAGGCAAAAUAGAGUUGAUCAUUUGUUUUGGAUUAUCUCAGUAUUAUAAGAAUUAUUGUAUCAAAUCAUCCAUCCUUUUUUAAAAAUAUGUAAACGAUUUCCAUUGAUUUUUUUUAUAUAAACAAUGUGCAUAUCUAUCAUAAUUGUGAAAUUUAUACGUUAUCAAAUGAAGACAUAUCUGCAUGUACUCGUAAUGGAUGUAUAUUCCUUUUUAAAUUAGAAUUUAAAAUGUGCAUUUAAUAAUGUGCUCUUACCAUUGUGUUUCAUGAAUCAUGAAUAGGAAAGAUUACAAAAUAUCUUAUUUAAAACAAAGUAUUUUGGAGUGUUAAUAAAAUAAAGAAUGUGCUUUUGGAAAGAACAAUGACAGGACAGAACCAUUGAACUCUCAAGAGUAAAACUUGAUAUACAGAAUGAAAUUCCAGAGACAUUUUGAUAAUUUUACAUGAUGUAAGACCCUUAGAAUA